ACUCCUACGGGAGGCAGCAGUGGGAAUAUUGCACAAUGGGGAACCGUAGCAUGCAGCCAUGCCGCGUGUGUGAAGAAGGCCUUCGGGUUGUAAAGCACUUUCAGCGAGGAGGAAAGGGUGUAAGUUAAUACCUUACAUCUGUGACGUUACUCGCAGAAGAAGCACCGGCUAACUCCGUGCCAGCAGCCGCGGUAAUACGGAGGGUGCGAGCGUUAAUCGGAAUUACUGGGCGUAAAGCGUGCGCAGGCGGUUUGUUAAGCGAGAUGUGAAAGCCCGCC
rnacentral:rRNA from 1 species